rnacentral:rRNA from 1 species
UACGUAGGGUGCGAGCGUUGUCCGGAAUUAUUGGGCGUAAAGAGCUCGUAGGCGGUGUGUCGCGUCGGCCGUGAAAACCUGGGGCUCAACUCUGGGCGUGCGGUCGAUACGGGCAUCACUGGAGUUCGGCAGGGGAGACUGGAAUUCCUGGUGUAGCGGUGAAAUGCGCAGAUAUCAGGAGGAACACCGGUGGCGAAGGCGGCUCACUGGACCGGUACUGACGCUGAUGCGCGAAAGCGUGGGGAGCAAACGGG